AUACGGAGGAUGCGAGCGUUAUCCGGAUUUAUUGGGUUUAAAGGGUGCGUAGGCGGAAGGCUAAGUCAGCGGUGAAACGCAGGUGCUCAACACCUGACCUGCCGUUGAGACUGGUUUUCUGGAAUGCGGAUGCUGUGGGAGGAAUGUGUGGUGUAGCGGUGAAAUGCAUAGAUAUCACACAGAACACCGAUUGCGAAGGCAUCUCACAAAUCCGCGAUUGACGCUGAGGCACGAAGGUGCGGGGAUCGAACAGGAUUAGAUACCCUGGUAGUCCGCACAGUAAACGAUGAUGACUCGCUGCCGGCGAUAGACAGUCGGUGGCCAAGCGAAAGCGAUAAGUCAUCCACCUGGGGAGUACGACCGCAAGGUUGAAACUCAAAUGAAUUGACGGGG
rnacentral:rRNA from 1 species